rnacentral:rRNA from 1 species
AUUGAACGCUGGCGGCAUGCCUUACACAUGCAAGUCGAACGGCAGCACGGGAGCUUGCUCCUGGUGGCGAGUGGCGAACGGGUGAGUAAUGCAUCGGAACGUGCCCUGAAGUGGGGGAUAACGUAGCGAAAGUUACGCUAAUACCGCAUAUUCUGUGAGCAGGAAAGCAGGGGAUCUUCGGACCUUGCGCUUUUGGAGCGGCCGAUGUCGGAUUAGCUAGUUGGUGGGGUAAAGGCCCACCAAGGCGACGAUCCGUAGCGGGUCUGAGAGGAUGAUCCGCCACACUGGAACUGAGACACGGUCCAGACUCCUACGGGAGGCAGCAGUGGGGAAUUUUGGACAAUGGGCGCAAGCCUGAUCCAGCCAUGCCGCGUGAGUGAAGAAGGCCCUUCGGGUUGUAAAGGCUC